UAGGCGUGUGGCCCCGCCUUGGCGGGGUACUACGUUCGGGACGUAGGGGCCGGAAGUUCGAGUCUUCUCACCCCGA
rnacentral:tRNA from 1 species